UUUAGGGCAUUGUACGGUUUCCUUUCACCCCACCCCCUCACCCCCUACACACACAACCUAAACAAAUCAUCAUCAACAAAAAAGCUGAGUGCAGUGGCAUGCACCUGUAAUCCCAGCAACUCAGGAGGUUGAAUCAGAAGGAUCAAAAGUUUGAGACCAGCCUCAGCAACUUAAUGAGAAGCUGAGCAAUGUGGGGAGACUCUGUCUCAAAAUAUAAAAUAAAAAAGGGACUAGGUACAACCAGAGACCCUGCAUCUAAUAGAAGAAAAAGUAGGCCCUAAUCUCCAUCAUGUGGGAUUAGGCCCCAACUUCCUCAAUAAGACUCCUGUGGCACAAGAAUUAAAACCAAGAAUCAAUAAAUGGGAUGGACUCAAACUAAAAAGCUUCUUCUCAGCAAAAGAAACAAUUGGUGAGGUGAACAGACGGCCUACUUCUUGGGAGCAAAUCUUUACCCCUCACACAUCAGAUAGAGCACUAAUCACUAGGGUAUAUAUAAUCACUCAAAAAGCUAAACACCAAAAAAAAAAACAAAAAAACAAAAAAACGAAUAACCCAAUCAAUAAAUGGGCCAAGGACCUGAAGAGAGACUUCUCAGAAGAUGAUGUACAAUCAAUACACAAAUAUAUAAAUAAACAUUCAUCAUCUCUCACAAUUAGAGAAAUGCAAAUCAAAACCACUCUAAGAUUUCAUCUCAUUCCAGUCAGAAUGGCAGCUAUUAUGAAGACAAACAACAAUAAAUGUUGGUAAGGAUAUGGGGAAAAGGGUACACCCAUACAUUGCUGGUGGGACUGAAAAUUGGUGCAGCCAAUAUGGAAAGCAGUACGGAGAUUCCUUGGAAAUACGGGAAUGGAACCACCAUUUGACUCAGCUAUCCCUCUCCUUGGGCUAUACCCAAAGGACUUAAAAACAGCAUACUACAGGGACACAGCCACAUCAAUGUUUAUGGCAGCAUAAUUCACAAUAGCUAAACUGUGG
rnacentral:lncRNA from 1 species